rnacentral:rRNA from 1 species
GGGCCCGCACAAGCGGUGGAGCAUGUGGUUCAAUUCGACGCAACGCGAAGAACCUUACCCAGGCUUGAACAGCGAGUGACCACUCCUGAAAGGGAGCUUCCGCAAGGACACUCGUAGAGGUGCUGCAUGGCUGUCGUCAGCUCGUGUCGUGAGAUGUUGGGUUAAGUCCCGCAACGAGCGCAACCCUUGUCUGCUGUUGCCAUCAGGUUAUGCUGGGCACUCUGCAGAGACUGCCGGUGAUAAACCGGAGGAAGGUGGGGAUGACGUCAAGUCAGCAUGGCCUUUAUGUCUGGGGCCACACACGUGCUACAAUGGCAGAUACAAACCGUCGCGAGACCGUAAGGUGGAGCUAAUCGGAGAAAGUCUGUCUCAGUUCGGAUAGCAGGCUGCAACUCGCCUGCUUGAAGUUGGAAUCGCUAGUAAUCGCGGAUCAGCACGCCGCGGUGAAUACGUUCCCGGGCCUU